rnacentral:rRNA from 1 species
GAUUGAAUCGUGAAACCGCGAACGGCUCAUUAUAACAGCUAUAAUUUACUAGAUCUUGACUUCCUACUUGGAUAACUGUGGUAAUUCUAGAGCUAAUACAUGCACCAAAGCUCCGACCUUACGGGAAGAGCGCAUUUAUUCGAACAAAACCAAGCGGCUUCGGCCGUCCGCAGUUGACUCAGAAUAACUAAGCUGAUCGCAUGGUCUUGAACCGCCGACGUGUCUUUCAAGUAUCUGCCUUAUCAACUUUCGAUGGUAGUGUAUCUGACUACCAUGGUGGUGACGGGUAACGGAGGAUAAGGGUUCGACUCCGGAGAAGGGGCCUGAGAAAUGGCCACUACGUCUAAGGAUGGCAGCAGGCGCGCAAAUUACCCACUCUCAGAAUGAGGAGGUAGUGACGAGAAAUAACGAGACCGUUCUCUACGAGGCCGGUCAUCGGAAUGGGUACAAUUUAAACCCUUUAACGAGUAUCUAUGAGAGGGCAAGUCUGGUGCCAGCAGCCGCGGUAAUUCCAGCUCUCAAAAUGCAUAGAAUUAUUGCUGCGGUUAAAAAGCUCGUAGUUGGAUCUGUGCCGGUGGACCCGGUCCACUCGAAAGGGUGCGUACUGGGCUCCUCGGCUUUCUGCCGGUUUUCCCAUCGUGGCCUUAACUGGUUGCGGUGGGUGGCUGGCGAUUUUACUUUGAACAAAUCAGAGUGCUUAAAACAGGCGUUUCGCUUGAAUGUUCGUGCAUGGAAUAAUAGAAAAGGAUUUCGGUUCUAUUUUAUUGGUUUUAUAGACUGAGAUAAUGGUUAACAGAGACAAACGGGGGCAUUCGUAUUGCUGCGUGAGAGGUGAAAUUCUUGGACCGCAGCAAGACGAA